rnacentral:rRNA from 1 species
CCAAGGAGUUCAGUAGGCACGCGAGUCGUUGACGUUGUGCAUUGAACAGUCGAAGGCGUAAUGAAAGUAAGAAAAAAGUGAACGGUGCUUUUCUUGGGUGCCGUUUGCUUUUCAACAUGAUCGUCCUUUGUUGUUUUGUUUGGGUGUGUUGCUUGAUUUUUGUAACUUGCGCCGCCCUUCUUAAUAAUAUUUUGGACGCGCAGUGUUGUGCCGUUGAACAGUCGCACUGUUUGUCCAUCUCUCACGGGUUGGAGAAACAAUUGUCGAUCAGUCGGUUUCGGAGCGUGCACACUGGUACCCGAAAGAUGGUGAACUAUGCUUGAGCAGAAUGAAGCCAGAGGAAACUCUGGUGGAAGUUCGUAGCGGUGUUGACGUGCAAAUCACUCGUCUGACUUGAGUG